rnacentral:rRNA from 1 species
UGAGGAAUAUUGGUCAAUGGGCGCAAGCCUGAACCAGCCAUCCCGCGUGCAGGAAGACGGCCCUAUGGGUUGUAAACUGCUUUUCCAGGGGGAGAAACUUGCGCACGUGUUGCGCAAUUGACGGUACCCUGGGAAUAAGCAUCGGCUAACUCCGUGCCAGCAGCCGCGGUAAUACGGAGGAUGCGAGCGUUAUCCGGAUUCAUUGGGUUUAAAGGGUGCGUGGGCGGACUAUUAAGUCAGUGGUGAAAUCCUGCAGCUUAACUGCAGAACUGCCAUUGAUACUGAUAGCCUUGAGUUUGGUUAAGGUAGGCGGAAUGUGUAAUGUAGCGGUGAAAUGCUUAGAUAUUACACAGAACACCAAUUGCGAAGGCAGCUUACUGAGCUAUAACUGACGCUGAUGCACGAAAGCGUGGGGAGCAAACA